rnacentral:rRNA from 1 species
AGAGUUUGAUCCUGGCUCAGGAUAAACGCUGGCGGCGUGCCUAACACAUGCAAGUCGAACGUCCUUCUUCGGGAGGGCGUGGCGGACGGGUGAGGAACACGUGGGAAUCUACCCAGAGGUGAGGAAUACCGGCGAGAAAUCGCCGACAAUACCGCAUACGCUCGCAAGAGCAAAGUCGCAAGACGCCUGUGGAUGAGCCU